GAAUUUUAAGAAAAUGCGUUUUAAUGCAAUUCAUUUUCCUAAUAAGGAAAAAGUCUUCUGAAGUGGAGUAGGUGUAUGAUAGAUAGAAAAGUUAGUAGGGGGCAGUCUUUUCUCCACUAAUAAAAUGCUAAUUUUUAUUUCAGGAGUGAUGAUGCAUUUCGGCAAGCGUUCUUGCCAUCAUCAAACUCUAAAAUGUAUUACAAACAGUUCAAAAACAUUUACGAAAAUUUUUUCCGACAUAUGAUUUAAAAAAAUACAUACUAAAAUUGUCUUAGAACAUUGAAAGGCUAGAAUUAGUAAACAACAACUGUUUGAGUCCAACAUGUGCACAGGGGCAAGAGGGGUGUUUUGUUUACAAACAUAUUUGCCGAUUCUCUGUUGUCAAGUCGACGCAAAUUUCCAACGGAAGAAAUUUUUAGCUAUAUUUUAACAACCAUUAUAACGUUAAUUUAACUUAUUUGUGUUGUAUUUUAUAGGAAAAUUUAAAAUAAAAAGAAUAAAUACUACAAUUAACCUAUUUUAAGAAUAAAUAUAAUAUCCUUAAGCAAAAAAAAAAACAAAAUUACUAACAUUGUUAUCCCUAAAACUGCUUCUGAAAAAUUUAAAGCGACAACACCGGAGCUUAAGUGUCUGAGCCAUACGCGUAGUGUCAUCUGUCAAACGGCUUUUUGUUUAUUUUCGGGAUUCGUGUAUUUUCUUUAAUUUUCGGUUUCAAAAGGAAAAAGGCCACAUUUUAGUGUUUUUUUAAAUUGCUAGGAUGGGAAAAACUUGUGUCGCUUGUGUCGCUUGUGCCGCAUCAUGAUAAAAAGGUGAUUCAAGCCGAUCUUUUCACAAGUAAGUACCGAUACUUUCAUAACAUCACAUCAUGGGGUAACCAUCAUCAUAAACGUAGAAUAGGGGAUCUUAUAGAUAAACCUAAUAAAAACUUGAAUGUGAAAGUGUGCGUAAAAUACCAAAAUAUUUAUAUUUUUAAAUCUAAAUAUUUUUUUGAACAUAUUCAUCUAUCAAUAGGCUAUAAAAAUAUAAAACUAGAAUUUUGUCCCUGGUUUUAUUACAGGAUUUUAUGUUUUUUUGUUGUUGUUUUGGCAGAAAGAAGGCAUACCUAAUAACCAUGUACCUAUCUAUGUAUAGUUAUGUUUUUUUAAUAUAGACAUUAGGUAGAUAGAUGAAAUUACUAAUUUUUUAUUGCCGUUAAAGAAUUUUGAAAAUUAUUUAGAUAUUGAUAUCUAUGUAUAAAGUUAAUUUUGUCUUUCCCUAAAAUUUGGUCGAUAUUUUUUUUUGUUUUACCAUAUUGCAACUUACAAUAAUAUAUAUAGAAAUUGGCACCACAUAUUAAUUCAUUACUGUAAUUUUUUUUGCUUUUUGAUUAAAUAUCAAAUACUUAUUAUAGAUUGCCUAAUAUAUGCCCAAAGGGAACAAUGGAUUUCAUUAAUGGAAAUCAACACAAUUAAACAGAACAUGUUUGUUCAGAUCACAUCCUUAGAAGUGAUUUCUUAUAUAAGGAAGAUAAUAUUAUCAGUAGCCAGACUUAAACAGAUUAAAAAAAUCAGCUCUACCUCAAAGGUAAUUUUUUUUUAAAUAUAUUUUUCUAGUAUAAAAAAAUCGUCACAAAAAGGAUUAGUGUUACUCAUUUAUACCUAAUACUUAUUAAAUUAGGUAUGUAUGUAAAACUUUUUUUUUACUAGGAUUUCUGAUGCACUGGUUAAAAACACAGCAGCUGAUAAUUCAGUUAAUUUACCAAGUGAUUUACCCUUCACAGCUGCAGGGGUAGCUUUCCUGAAGAGUGCAAAAACUUCUUUAGCUUCCAAAAUGGUAUAUAGUACAAACAGUGAAGCUGAUAUAGACAAAUCUGAUCAUUCAUCAUCAACAAUAACUGCAUCUGAGAUUAAUAGUUCUACAGUAACCGUGGAGUCUAGGUCAACAAUUACUAUUUCUCAUCCAAGCCGUUUUUGUUUAACUGCUACAUAUUGCCUGACUCUGCCAAGGAAAAGGGUAAAAUCAAAAUGAUAUCCUGAGGACCUAAGCACUGAUGAUUCCACCGUUUCAAAAGCUAAAUCACUUGUUACCAAAUUAUGGAAAAAAAAUAAAGAGCAAAAAAUUAAAAUUCGAAGAUUGCAAUAAACAAAUUUGCCCCAAAGAAAUUGAAUUAGAUGUCUCAAGUUAUUAUUAAAAUACUUAAGAAAUAAUAACAUGAUUUUCGAAAAAGCCCAACAUACUACAUAUUUUAUUUGACUUGUAAAAGUACUUGUUUGUAUAUUUUUACUAAUAAACUAUUUAAUCUAAUCUAU